rnacentral:rRNA from 1 species
GAUGAACGCUGGCGGCAGGCCUAACACAUGCAAGUCGAGGGGUAGAACACUUCGGUGUUUGAGACCGGCGCACGGGUGCGUAACGCGUAUGCAAUCUACCUUGUACAGGGGAAUAGCCCAGAGAAAUUUGGAUUAAUGCCCCAUAGUAUAUAACCUUCGCAUGUUGGUUAUAUUAAAGUUCCAAUGGUACAAGAUGAGCAUGCGUCCCAUUAGUUAGUUGGUAAGGUAACGGUUAACCAAGACGAUGAGGGGUAGGGUUCCUGAGGGGGAGAUCCCCCACACUGGGACUGAGACACGGCCCAGACUCCUACGGGGGGCAGCAGUGAGGAAUAUUGGACAAUGGGCGCAAGCCUGAUCCAGCCAUGCCGCGUGCAGGAAGACGGUCCUAUGGAUUGUAAACUGCUUUUGUACGGGAAGAAACACUCCUACGUGUAGGAGCUUGACGGUACUGUAAGAAUAAGGAUCGGCUAACUCCGUGCCAGCAGCCGCCGUAACAC